rnacentral:rRNA from 1 species
UACGUAGGGGGCUAGCGUUGUCCGGAAUCAUUGGGCGUAAAGCGCGUGUAGGCGGUCCGGUAAGUCCGCUGUGAAAGUCGGGGGCUCAACCCUCGGAUGCCGGUGGAUACUGUCGGGCUUGAGUACGGAAGAGGCGAGUGGAAUUCCUGGUGUAGCGGUGAAAUGCGCAGAUAUCGGGAGGAACACCAAUGGCGAAGGCAGCUCGCUGGGACGGUACUGACGCUGAGACGCGAAAGCGUGGGGAGCAAAUAGG